UGAGAACAAUAGGCACCUGGAAAAUGUCAAUUAGCCAGCCUGUCCAGCUGGAUCUUCCUUGAUGUUCAUGGUGAAAGCUUUGUCUAUGGAUAGACGACAUCUUAUUCUAGAUACCAGACUGACCAUAGAGCUUAUGGACAUGCAAGUGGAAUUUUGCCAUUUAAGAACUGAGCUCUAUGGCAGAAAGAAGACCCACCGCUGGAACAUGCGCUGCAGAGGUCUGGGGAAAGCUUCUUCCUUUCACAGAGUAAGUUACAUCUGUAACAGAAAGAGCCUUAACAAUUGCCAGAUUUUUACACUGUGCAGAUUGA
rnacentral:lncRNA from 1 species